CCUACGGGUGGCAGCAGUAGGGAAUCUUCCACAAUGGACGAAAGCCUGAUGGAGCAACGCCGCGUGAGUGAAGAAGGCUUUCGGCUCGUAAAGCUCUGUUGGUAGUGAAGAAAAGUAGAGGUUGUAUCUUGCCUUUAUUAGACCUUAAUACUUUAGAACGUCAAGGCUAAUUCCGUGCCAGCAGCCGCUGUAAUACGUAGGUGGCUAGCGUUGUCCGGAUUUAUUGGGCGUAAGGCGAGUGCAGGCGGUCCAAUAAGUCUGAUGUGAAAGCCUUCGGCUCAACCGGAGAAUUGCAUCAGAAACUGUUGAACUUGAGUGCAGAAGAGGAGGGUGGAACUCCAGGUGUAGCGGUGGAAUGCGUAGAUAUAAGGAAGAACACCAGUGGCGAAGGCGGUCUGCUGGACAGCAACUGACGCUGAGGCGCGAAAGCGUGGGGAGCAAACAGGAUUAGAUACCCGAGUAGUC
rnacentral:rRNA from 1 species